CUUCUGCUCUUGACUAGGUCCUCUUUUUUAUUAAACUGUUAAUAUUUUCUGUUUUUGAAAAGAUCCACAUUACCUAAAGUGUCUGUCCCUACGUUCCACAGAGACCUGGAACCAAACCCAGAACUUCACUUCCCUGUGCCAGAAGGAUUCCAGUGAGCUUUUCCCACAGGCCCUACAGUCUUCUCCAGGUGAACCUCGAGUCACACUCUGUCACCCAGGGUGAAGUGCAAUGGCACAAUCUCGGCUCACCACAACCUCCACCUCCUGGGUUUAAGAGAUUCUCCUGCCUCAGCCUUCCAAGUAGCUGGGAUUACAGGCAUAUGCCACCGGGUCCGGAAUUUUGUGUAUUCACAACAACAUUUGCUGCAUUGGUACAGUGUGACAGAUACAGCACUGAGUACUGACAAACUGGGGAUAUAAUUAUUAAUGAAUAAAGGCAAAAGCAUGACACUUAAGGACAUAAUCUAGUAGACUGUAAUGUGAUGGUAAGGAAAUGCAUGUAUG
rnacentral:lncRNA from 1 species